GAUGAUGAUGAUGAUAAAAGAGAGCAGCAACAACACAAGCAGUAUUUGUAUUUCCACAUAAUUAUUGACAACGUGCAGAGCAAGCAAAGAGAGCGAACAAGUAAGAAGAUAUACAAGAAGUAGGAAGACAAGCAAUAAGAAGCAGCAGCCACAACUCUGUCUGGCAUUCAAAAUAUGCGCACACAUACAAACAAACAAACAUAGCACUGCCUUGAAAGCUCAACAAGUUGAAACGAAAAAGAAGGCCAGAAGGAGACAGCAAACAGUGAAGACCUACUUUGCCAAUUUGCCAAAGCGCAACUGACAGUGAUAGAUAGCUUAGAUAGCUAAAGUACUUUGUGUGCAUUGUGUGCUUAAAGCUUUACUUACACGUCAAACACAAUGCAAAGCUUUUGGGUAUUACUGCUGAUCGCGCAGCUUGUGUGCAGUCAGGAAGCGAUAACAACGACCGAGGACACUUUAACCAUAAGCUCCACAUCCACCGCAGCCAGUGUGACCAACGGUGAUCGCCUGCAACCGCCGCCGCGUGUCACGUUGAACAAGUGUUGCCAUGGCGGGGAAUAUUUAAACAGCAGCUCGCGGAUUUGUGUGGCCGGCGCCUCCAAGGAUUGGGUGCCGCUCGUCUUUCUCAUACAGCAGCGACGCUUCUUUGAGCCCGAAGGCUCCAAGCCGCGCUUCGUGAAAUUCGUGCCCAACGUGCAGCCCCAGUGUGACGAGCAACAUCAGCAAUUGGAGCUGUUCCACACCCGAAGCGCCAAUGUGCUCAUCUUCUCCAAUGGAACGCUGUCGGUGCGCGAACGCGACAUCCUCGUCCAGCCCGCCAACUAUUGUGUAGAUCGCUUUGUGGCGCUGGUCUGCGUAGAACGCGAUGCGCCAUUGCCCAUGCAACAGAAGGAACGUCAACCGGGUGACGAGUCUCAACAGGUGGCGCCACCACCACCGCCAACGUUGCGUCUGCGCAAAUGCUGUGGCAAGCGUGGCAUCUACAACAGCAACAUCAAAAGUUGCACGCUGCAAACUGCAGCGAGCGGCAGUAACGAUUCAAACGGACAGCUGCAAUUGGAGCCACAGUUGCCAUGGGGCAGCUAUCAAACCAGCUACGGACUCCCGGAGUGUCAUCUGGGGAAUGGCAGUGCGUAUGCCAUUGCCGGGGAUUGGCAUGAGGCCACAUUGAAUCGCACAACGGGCGCCCUGCAACUGCAACUCACGAAUCUGAGCGCAUUGCAAUAUUGUCUGGAGCACACCGAACGUGCCGGCGAGGUGAAGAUCAUUACGUGCAGUCAGCAUUUCGGACAGGACACCAACCAGGCUCAAUAUGCGGAUGAUGUCUCAAUACUCAGCGUGGGCAUCGUCAUAUCGAUUGUGUUUCUGGCGGCCACAUUGGUUGCCGGCUACAUGUUGCCAGCGGUGCAUCAUGCGCUCCAUUGGCGCUGUCAGAUCUAUUACGUCUUCUGUCUGCUCCUCGGCAAAAUCCUGUUGAUUGUGGAGAUAAGCCGAGCCCUGGAACCGGGGACGAUGAGUUGCAUGCUGCUGGCCAUUGGCAUGCAGUUCUUCUUUUUGUCCGCCUUCUUUUGGCUAAACACCAUGUGCUUCAACAUCUGGUGGACAUUCCGGGACUUUCGUCCCAGCUCCCUGGAGCGCAAUCAGGAGACCCUACGCUUGCGUUUGUACUCCGCCUAUGCCUGGGGUGUGCCGCUCUUGAUAUGCGCCAUUGCUGCCUGUGUGGAUCAGUUGCCCGAAACGGAGACGGCGCUGUUGCGCACGGGAUUCGGACAACCGUAUUGCUGGUUCGAUAAUCGUGCGGCGAUCUUCGCGUACUUCUUUGGACCGAUCGGAUUGCUGUUGUGCGCCAACAUAAUGCUCUUCAUCUCGACCACACAUCAGUUGACCUGCGGUCUGUGGAAGCGCGACGAUGUCAAGUCAACGUCAGAGAAAUCGGCAUUGGGUCGCGUCUGCCUCAAGCUGGUUGUGGUAAUGGGUGUUACAUGGAUAUGGGAUAUUAUCUCGUGGCUGGUGGGCGGGCCCAAUGAAGUGUGGCUAAUGACGGAUCUGAUCAAUGCCCUGCAGGGUGUAUUCAUCUUUAUUGUCGUGGGAUGCCAGCCGCAGGUGUGGACCGCCUGCAAGCGCAUCUGUUGUCCGCGACUCACGCACGACAUCACGAACACAACGAAUGGGGUGCAGCAUUCGAGCAGCUCGCAGGGAUUGCCCUCGAUGGCCGGAUGUGGCACCGAGUUUACGCAAAACACCUCGAUGAAUGUGACGACUUUGGCCAGUCCAGAUGAUUCUGCACCUGCAGUGCCAACAUCAUCGCCGCCAAGAACGCCAACACUGAGCAUAGCAAACACCACAACAGCAACAACAGGAGCAACAACAACAACAACAAAAAUACCCAUGGAAACUAUUUGCUAAGAAAACUGAGACGAGCGACAAUGCGAAAGUAAACCGAGUCCUACAACAACAACAACAACAGCAGCAGCAGCAGCAACAACAAAAACAACGACAACGGCAGAAACAACCACAACAACAAUGACAAUGAAACGGGCCGACUACAACAACAUGCGGUCACACUUGCGCAAUAGUAACCGCAACAAUAGCAGCCACCACCACCACCACAACAACAACAACAGCAGCAGCGGGUAAAUUCAACAUUCAAGCACGCGCAUUGAGCGAGCGAAUGAGCGAAUGGCCUGGAACUUCCAACUGCCCAGCCCAGCCCAGCUGGCCAAGCUUAUUUCUUAAUUGGACGCGUUUAUGUGGGCAGCAGACACAACUUGAUCCUGAUUGGGAGCGGCGCUCUUUUACCAAAAUACCGAUGAAUUAUCUGCUUGUAAACACAGCCCGAGUUUAUUUACAUCAGGCAUGUUUCUCUCUCUCUCUCUCUCUCUCUUUCUUUCUCUGAAUGUAUGUGUGUAUGUAAUUUUGUAAGUGUGUGUUUUGUUUUCGGCGCACAGAAAAGCGAAGCGCGCGUUUAAUUAAACAAACAUUGAGCUGGUUAAUAGUUUACUUUGAUAUGCACACACACACACACACAAUGAAAUGAAAACAAAAAUACACACACACAGGCACACGUAGAGACGUUUGCAUUUACAUUUAUCAUCAAAAGUUCAACGCAACGAAACUGAUCAAGGUUAAAUGGCCUAAAACAAAAACAACAACAACAGAAGCACAAUGAAUGAGAAAUAGAAACACAAAACGUAAACACACAUAAAAAAGAUGCCAAUAAGAAAGCGAGUUUAAUUAACCGGACACACACACACUCACACACAGAAAACACUAUAGUAAGACGCAAUAUGCCGUUAGAGUUAGUUAGUCGGUUGGCCCCAAAAAAAAAAGGUGUUACCAGAUCUGUUAAAAAACACGUAGACUCCCGUCGCUUGCAUAAUGUAUUUCAAUUUACCUUUUUUUUGAACGCAGAAACUAAAAACAGUACAAUCAUUUUUUUUUUAACAACACGUUUUAAUUUAUUUACGUAAUUUUUUUUUUUUUAGUAAUUAUAUUAGUGCGUUUAACGUAUGUCGAAAAAGAAAAGAAAAUGCGUUUUGAAAACCUACAAAAAAAAAUAAUAAUAAGAAACAAGAAAUCAAAGAGAAGAAGCAGUAACUAAUUUUGUUUUAAGAGCAUUGUAUUAUGAUAGCUAUAAAAAAAGAUAACAAUAAUUAUAAUAUAUAUGUAUGUUUAUGUACUUCCAAAGUGUUCAGGCCAAAAGUAAUAUUUCCCUCUAAUUGUAAAAAAAAGAAAAUAACGAGAAUGUACGGUUCAACAUAUAUAUUUGUCCAUAUCCAAAUGUGAUUGUAUAUAUAUAUAUAAAGUAAAGUUUAUAUAUGUAAAUUGUAUGUAUUUUUUUUAUAUAUAUAUAAAUCCUUUUCAAGUAAACCACAACGAAUAUGAAAUUCUAACUGACUGAGGCAAAAGGCAGCAAAUAUAUAAUAUUAUACUAAUUUUGUAAUUUAACAUACUUUUUAUACGAGUAUGUACUAUUUUUGAUACUAAUCUACAGUCAGCGAUUAAUUUGUAUAUAAUUAGAAUAUAUAUAUAGUAUUGUAAUUGAACCAUUGAAAUUGUAAUUGAAAUUUCAAACACCACAGUGCAUGUUUUUUGCAUAUCAUUAUCUUUCGUAUACAUAUAAUAUCUUAUAAGCAUGUACAAUAUCAAGAUCAACAACGAAUAUAUUUAACUAAGUUUUGCAUAAAUAUAUAUAUGAUGUAUGUAGUAUAGUAUAGUUUAUAAUAGUCGCUAGUGUUUUAGGAAAUGUUUGUAACGAAACUUUGCCCUGUUCUUUUACUCCUUGAAAUGAAACUAAUUGAGUAUUCAAUUCUUAAAUCGAACAAUUGAAAAUGAAAAGUCUGCAAUCCUUUUUAGUCAUCCGCACUCGCACUCCCAUCGAAUGAUAUAAAAAGGGAAGUAAUGUGAAUACUAAAUAUAUGUAUUUAUACUAUAAAUUGUUAUCUAUAUAUAUUCUUUGAAUAUCUUUCAUGUUAAUUUAUGGAACGCUUGUUUAUAAGGCGUUCCCAAUCAUUUUUCGAGGCGUGUGCGAUUUUUUC